GGGGCCCUCCUGGUGCUUGCGU
rnacentral:miRNA from 1 species